CCCGCCGGACGGCGCCGGACCGGGCGCGGGGGACUCCGGCGUGGGGCGCGCCAGGAGCCUGACGGACGACGACCUGGAGGAGCUCAAGGGGUGCGUGGAUCUGGGGUUCGGCUUCAGCUACAACGAGAUCCCGGAGCUGUGCGGCACCCUGCCCGCGCUCGAGCUCUGCUACUCCAUGAGCCAGCGGUUCCUGGACGAGCACCAGCCGUCGUCCAAGGCCGAGGACUUGGCCCCGGAGCCGCCGGCGGUCGUGCCUCCUUCGCCGGUCCAGCCCAUCCCCAACUGGAAGAUUUCCUGUCCCGGUAAGCUCAGAUUCCCCGGCCUAUGUCUCUUGCUGUUGCUUGGUUGGAUCUUGCUUUCCAAUGAAAAAUUAAGUCUGUUCGUUCAACAUCGAUUUCUUGAUUCAUCUUAAGUCUCUAGAAUGGCCAGCUCAUGAUUGGAUCACUUUACGCACUGUGAUUUUAGCUUCAUGUUUGGAUUGGAUUGUCAUCGAGCAUUUGAACUCAAGCGUUCUUCUCUCUUGAUGUGUUGUUGCAGGCGACAGCCCGGAUGAGGUGAAGGCGAGGCUCAAGUACUGGGCGCAGGCGGUGGCGUGCACCGUCAAGCUCUGCAGCUGAUCAACCGCGUCAUCAAAUCAAUCCCGCGGACGCAGGAAGACGAAGCCAACUCAUACUCGCAACAAGGCGGCAACCCAAUUCAGUUCAGGCGACCAAUGUGCACGAGAGCACGCCAUCUGCCGGAAUCGCAUGGAAAUCACAUUACAUUGCAUCAUCGCCGUCAUCAUCACGAUCAGCAGAACGAAGGGUGCACGCAUCAUAUUGGAUGGCAGGACGCGAUGA
rnacentral:lncRNA from 1 species